rnacentral:rRNA from 1 species
AUGGCGUUGCAAUUACAGCAAACAAUGGCCACCACGAGCACAUGCUUCCGGACGUCGUGGCCGGCAACGGUCGAUAAAUUGAAGGCCGAUGUGAGGGAGCGGCUGGUGGCGGCGAGCCGAGGCGGCCACCAAACUGCCAUGCUCGGGCUUGUCGACACGGUGCAACGGCUCGGCAUCGCCUACCAUUUCGAAGAGGAGAUCGCUGGUAUCCUCAGGUCCGUCCACCAAAAGCCUCACCGGUGCAGCUGGGAUGAUGGUGAUGUUGCUUCCGCAGCCUUGAGGUUCAGGUUGCUCAGGGACAGUGGUUUCCCUGUCUUCUUCCCUCCAGGCGACGUCAAGGGACUCCUCUCGCUCUAUGAGGCUUCAUACCUUGCGUUUGGAGGCGAGGAAUCAUUGGACAAGGCUAGAGCAUUUUCUAAAAAAGCUCUCAGAGAGCACUUGUCAUCCAUGGAUCACCACUUACGCCAAAGUGUGGUCCGUGCUUUGGACCUUCCAUUGCACCGAAGGUCUCCUAGACUAGAAGCAAGAUGGUUCAUAGAUCCCUACUCUAGAGAUGAGAGCAAUUCCGACCCGUUGCUCAUUGGAUUUGCAAAGGUGGACUUCAACAAUGUGCAAAGUGUGAACCAGGAAGAACUCGCUAGAUUGGCAAGUUCUCUUGAUGAUGUUUAUGAUGUGUAUGGAACUCUGGAUGAACUCGCCCUCUUCACCCACGCCAUUGGAAGAUGGGAAGAAAGACCCAGUGAAAUGCUCCCAGAAUACAUGCAAGUACUCUAUUCCGUCAUGUACAACACAUCCGCCGAGGUGGCUGAAAAUGUGUUUAAACAACAUGGUUGCGACGCUCGUAAUUUUCUUCAGGAAGCGUGGCGAGACAUGGCAGAGUCUUUCCUGGUGGAGGCAAAGUGGCACCAUGGAAACCAGAGACCAACACUGCAUGAGUAUCUUGACAAUGGAUCAAUUUCGUCCUCUGCUCCACUGUUGCUGCAACAUGUGUUUCCCCUGCUCCACGUGGAAGAAAAGCUUACCCCAAUGUUACUCGCUAAAGUUGGAAGCUACCCCAAAUUAGUUCAGUCUGCGUCCUUAGUUCUUUGCCUCUGCAACGACUCUGCAACCCACUCUGCGGAGCUGGACCGAGGGGAUGCACCAUCGUCAAUAUCUAUUCACAUGUCGGAGAACAGCUCCAAUGAGCAAGAGUCUCGCGAAUCCAUGGAAGAUCUUACCAUGGAAGCUUGGAAGUCGAUUAACGAAGAUGCAUUCAAACACUGCCGAUUUUCUAGAUAUUUUGCCAAGACUUGCGUGAAUUUGGCUCGAAUCUCACAUUGUAUUUACCAAGGUGGGGAUGGUUUCGGUGCGCCGGAUGAUCAGAAGAAAAGGCAAAUCAGAGAGUUGUACUUUGACUCUUUCAUGACUAAGAAACAUUAA